rnacentral:tRNA from 1 species
GGGGCAGUAGCUCAGUUGGGAGAGCGCAUGAAUGGCAUUCAUGAGGUCAGCGGUUCGAUCCCGCUCUGCUCCA